GAUCUACAAAUUAUUGCCCAUUGGGUGGUCCGACACAUGGUGGAGCUAUGAAGGCUGAAGCCUCUCUGUGAACAAAUAUGUGUCACAUAAUUUGAUAAGGCCAACCACGAUCUUCAUCAAGUGUGGUCAUGGAGCUUCCGGCAACACUAUCGAUGGGGAGUAUCCUAUAAUUGAAUACGCUUCAUAAAAAGAUUGCAUGUUUCAAGACAAUGUUCAGUAUAAGUAGUUAUGCAUGUGUCAACUGUCAUAAGAUUGGCUAAAGUGCCUCUUUAAACAUAAACGAGGCCAUACCUUGCUACCUGUGUGAGUAAGAUUUGCUAUGUAUGAAGAGUUGGAGCUGCAUAUUUAGCUAG